GGGCAAAUAGUGUAGUUGGUUAUCGCGCCCGCUUCGCAUUCUGGUAACAGACUGGUCACGUGACCUGGUUUGCGGGAGGUCUGGAGUUCGACUCUCCAUUUGUCCA